rnacentral:rRNA from 1 species
CCCAGACUCCUACGGGAGGCAGCAGUGGGGAAUAUUGGGCAAUGGGCGCAAGCCUGACCCAGCAACGCCGCGUGAAGGAAGAAGGCUUUCGGGUUGUAAACUUCUUUUAAGGGGGAAGAGCAGAAGACGGUACCCCUUGAAUAAGCCACGGCUAACUACGUGCCAGCAGCCGCGGUAAUACGUAGGGUGCGAGCGUUAAUCGGAAUUACUGGGCGUAAAGGGUGUGCAGGCGGCUGAGUAAGACAGGUGUGAAAUCCCCGGGCUUAACCUGGGAACCGCAUAUGUGACUGCUUGGCUAGAGUGCGUCAGAGGGAGGUGGAAUCCCACGUGUAGCAGUGAAAUGCGUAGAUAUGUGGAAGAACACCGAUGGCGAAGGCAGCCUCCUGGGACGCAACUGACGCUCAUACACGAAAGCGUGGGUAUCGAACAGGAUUAGAUACCCCCGUAU